rnacentral:lncRNA from 1 species
CUAAACUUCAAAACUGUGACAUUGCACACUUUAUCACAGGUUUAAAUACUAAUUCAUCUGUUGUAUAGUGAUAUUAUUUUGGCAUGAAACAAAAAAUACAACUAUUUAUUACAAAAAAACUACCGCAGGAAGGAUUUUACUUACAGCUCUCGAAAACAGGUUUGCGGGAUAACUUUUGAACGGCGUGACGUCAUUACACGAAAUUUCCCGGGGUUGGUCAGUCUUGCGUAGUGACGAAUUUUGAAGUGAAAGCCUUGCGUGGUUUUCGAGUAAAUCGCUGUGUUUCAAUCGUCCCGUGUUUCAAUCGACCCGGCUCUCCCCUAUCUCAACUGAACCCAGAGUGAAUACAUAAAAUACUUCCUUAAUGACUUCCUCACACUUCCAUCCGGUGAGAGCCUAGAAAGUAGAAAGUGAGAAAUGUUUCAGUCGUUAUUUCUCUCCCUUGGGAUCUCAACCUCUCCGCUCCAUGGAGCCAUAGGGGCUGCAACUUUGACACAACCAAUCCUCAUGUUUGCACAUCUUCCCAUCAUAACCAGCAGCGGGGUGGCUGUCAAGGCCAAACACUGAGACGUGAUGGAUGUCUGGUGGGACAGGGCUGACCCCAUUACGAUGGUCCACUUGAUAGAGGAGGCUGCUUCCUGGAGGGAUGGAGAGCUGAAGAGAAACGGAGAAAGAAAAGGAAGAUGGAUACUUCUGGCCCGGGGUAAAGGAGACGCAAUCAAAAUGGAGACGCAAUGGAGGACGGCGAAUAGGUAGUUGGACCUCAAGGCGAUACGAGCCAUUGUGUGACGCACGCGGUGUGGGUCUCAGUCUCUCUCCGGCACUGUAUCUCCCUCUCGGUCAUAGCUGAUCCAUAUCCAUUAAUUUCAACCAAGACUCUUGGUCCAUGGCUUUGGCAGGCAUAAAGCUACUGACCCGUCCAUCAACUAGGAGCACAUUGAGACCCUGAAUGUUCAGUCAGCCGGCCAUAGCUGUCUGCAGAGUAUUUAAUCAGCGCCAUAGGAAGGAGGCAAUUUGUCGCGGACUGCCUUGUUAGUACAUUAAUGAGGGGAUAAACCCAUUGGUGCACUCUUUCAUCAACCUCCCAGGGCGAGCGCUGAAGGACUGCAAUGGCACGCUGAUUUUCGAUUAACAGAAUUAAGGUAGAACUCUCUAGAAAGUUGCAAUUUUAUUUGUUUUAACUAGAGCUGUCAGUUAAACGCGUUAUUAACGGCGUUAACGCAAACCAAAUUUAACGGCGUUUUAUCGCGCGAUUAACGCAAUUAUUUUAUAAAAAAAAAAAAAGUUUUUUUUUUCCUUUGGCUCAAAACAAAGAAGCAGUAGCCUGACUGCUAUGUUCAAAUGACAUUUGUUCAAAGCAGUCGUUUAAUUGCACUAUAGGCUCUUUUUUUGUAUCGUCCUGUUUUGAUCAGUGUAUAUGCCAAUGUUGUUAUCAAUAAAAAAUCAUUUGUACAAGGCAAGCCGAUGCACUUCACCAUGUUGAUAAGAGAAUUAAAAUGAGA